GCUAUUUUACAGCAGCUUAAUUAUUGUUUCCGGUGCUUAGUGCCGCCCAAGAUGAUUGUGAUUGGUUUAAAAAUGCAAAUUAAAAAGAGCACAUUUUCUCCUAUGCCAGAGUCCUGUGUGGACAGUGCUGUACAGGAAGGUUUGGCAAAGUGAGACUACUGUAUCUUCUAAUCUUAGUCCGCGCCCAAAAGCUGCUGGUAAAAGCAAAAACGCUACCCAGCUGGAACACAACCUGGGGAAUAAAGUGAUACAUGACACACCCAGACAUUAUCUUGUGGGCAGACGCCUUAUAUUGGUGAAAAGUGAUCCUGAUCAAUUAGAAUAACACCCUGUAGAAUGUCCUAUAAUACUGCAGAGAACCACCGUGACCUGGUCUCCAACACCAACCCGGACCAGCAGAGAUGGGUCCAAGAGAGAGCCAAGAAGACAGACAGUCCCUACGUCCGGCUGGGACUGCCCUACUCCUGCACCUUGCAGUUGUGGUUCUGGGUCAGUGACGAGUUGAACUGCUAUAAGAACUGGGACUUGCAUAAGACGGAUGAUGAUUGUUACAUGUCUGGAGCCAUGGACAGAGGAGGAUAACAUAAGUGGGUCAAAAAUAUUGUAAAUGAGGAGUUUAAUUUUAUCUGUUCUAAGUAAAACCCUUAACUCACUGGUAGCUGACGUUCUGUAUAUUUACUCACUUUAUUUGCGGUGGUGUGGCGUUGACACUAUAAACAGUAUGCCCUCUGAUUUUAUUAACAGGCAUUCUUGGAAAUGUAAAAAUCACAACCGAAAGGGAAGAGAAAUGAAAUUUCUAACAGACUUUCUAACAGCAGAUUUUAAAUUGAGGGAAGAUUACUGAUGAUGUGAUCCUGUGACAGGUUUGUCUGUCUCCUGAUUCUGAUGUACACUAUCUAUUUCCUGAAAUUGUUAUAUUUUGUUUUUCUCAAAGUGUGGAUAAUUUUUUUCAUUUUUGAGGUUGUAUUUAGUUUUCUGUAUAAUUCAAAACAUGUAGUUUUUACCCAUGUAUAUGGCAGGAAAAUGAAUACAUACACAAAUCUACAGUAGAGGUUUGAUUUUUGCUUUCCAUAUUCAUUAUGGAACAUUUUCCUCUUUUAUCAACUCUUGGUGAAUAUCUGGUGAUAUAUCAUGUCAAAUCUGUGUAUCCCAUUUUUUUGAGUUUUUUGUAAACAAUGACUUGCUUAGGCUCAAUAAACUGUUAAAAC